rnacentral:sRNA from 1 species
GCAAAUCGAGGGAGCACAAUGGAGUCCGGCAGGGUGGGUGGACUUUUAGAGUGCGUGGCCGGAAGAGAGAGGCCUUGGGUGAAGUGUUGCCUUGCUGUGGAGAGCUCUUAGAGGACAAAUAAAAGGAACACACUCUAGGCAGAAGGAACAGCCCCUGAGAAGAACCUGAGCCCAGCAAGAGCUUGGCGUAAUCUGAGGAGCAGAGGGGGCCCCGUAGGACCGUGCACGGAGGGAUGAAGAUGCAGGGAUGCCAAGCGAGUCUGCUAAGAAUCCUGCUUCAUCUAGACCGUGCCGCACCUUUGGGAACAAGGCAAGGAUCUCCGGGUUUAUCUUCAAGAUAAGAAGCGCCAUCAGAGUUGGCUCUUUGCUUCUUGGUUUGGAGGCUGUAUGGAAUCUAGGAAGAGUGUAGAAACGAACGAGUAGAGCAAGAGGGAGAUUCUCCUAGAAAGAGCCGCUUCAUCUGUUAAGGAGGAACUAUGAAACCUCUUACAGCAGGCUGCGACCUCCCUGUCCAUCCUGUGUAAAAUAUGAAAUAAGAGUUUUAAUUACCGAGCUUGGAAGGCUGCCGACAUGUUUAAUAUUUAAUGUCUCCAAUGCCUGUGCCCCAGGCGUGCCGGCACUGACACAAUUGGGGUUUCCCUUGGGUUGGUUCUGAAUGUACUUGGACAACAGCCAGGCAGCCGCCUUCCCCAACACCUGGGAGCCUCCUGUAGCCCAGCCUGGGCCCAGGCCUGCCCUGAGCCUCCCACCCCCUGAGGGACUCCUGACGAGAAGGCCCAGUGAGGCCUGUUCUUCCACCUCAGGGUGGACAUCAGGUCCUGGAGGCCCUGCGAACUAGCUAGUUAGUACUGGACCCAGCUCAGGGUCCUGGCAGAGAAACGAGAGUCAGUAGAAGAUGGGAGCCCAGGAGGGGGCCGGGGCAGAUGAGCUUGAGUUUGAGGUCUGCUUUUCUGCAAGCCAUUUAGCCCUUUCUCUGGGUGUCACUUUUAUUAUUCAUAAAGCGGAGAGUGUAUUUCCUGCGUUCCGGGUUGUUAAUGUGUCGCUAUUUUUGAGGUUUAGCAUGUGCCAGAGCCCCGCUAAGCACUUCGCAUGUACCGUGUCUUCCUCAAUACAACGACCCUUUGAAGUGGCUAAGCUGGAACUUGGGAACGAGGCCUCCUGAUUCCAGAGCUUGCGACUCCAAGGGCUUUGUGUGGAAGAGCCUUGCGUGUUUGGAGAAAUGUGAACCACCCAGUUCCAGUCCCUGUGCAGUGGCGCCUUCCGUUUGCUAGGCAGUGGGGACUCAGGGCAGCACCUCGUACUGCGACUGUGUGCCUCACAUCUCAUUCCUGCACAGAGGUGGGGGGCACCCAAGCUGUGUCUGAUUAGUUGAUUGGCACUGUCAAAAUAGUUGAAUCCCCCAGGCAUGGUGGCGCAUGCCUUUAAUCUCAACACUUGAGAAGCAAAGGGAGGUGGAUUUCUAGUUUCAGGCCAGCCUGGUCUACACAGGAAGGCCCUUUUGUUUUGCUUUGUUUAAUUUUUGUUGUUGUUUAAGACAGGGUUUCUCUGUGUAGCCCAGGCUGCCCUGGAACUAGCUUUGUAGACCAGGAUGGCCUCAAAGUCACAGAGAUCUGCCUGCCUCUGACUCUGGAAUGCAGGGACUAAAAGUACAUGCCACCGUCAAUCGAUGGCCCUGACUUAAAAGAAAAAAAAAUAAAAGCAGAAUUCUUGGA